CGUCGAUUUAGUCCUCAGCUUUUGUGGCCGACCCACAAACUUUGGUUUGUGGUUUGGCCAUGAAAGCUGAAGACCAAAACGACG